UGCCUAGGAAUCUGCCUGGUAGUGGGGGACAACGUUUCGAAAGGAACGCUAAUACCGCAUACGUCCUACGGGAGAAAGUGGGGGAUCUUCGGACCUCACGCUAUCAGAUGAGCCUAGGUCGGAUUAGCUAGUUGGUGAGGUAAAGGCUCACCAAGGCGACGAUCCGUAACUGGUCUGAGAGGAUGAUCAGUCACACUGGAACUGAGACACGGUCCAGACUCCUACGGGAGGCAGCAGUGGGGAAUAUUGGACAAUGGGCGAAAGCCUGAUCCAGCCAUGCCGCGUGUGUGAAGAAGGUCUUCGGAUUGUAAAGCACUUUAAGUUGGGAGGAAGGGCAGUAAGCUAAUACCUUGCUGUUUUGACGUUACCGACAGAAUAAGCACCGGCUAACUUCGUGCCAGCAGCCGCGGUAAUACGAAGGGUGCAAGCGUUAAUCGGAAUUACUGGGCGUAAAGCGCGCGUAGGUGGUU
rnacentral:rRNA from 2 species